GGAUUGUGGCUCAGAGGUAGAGUGCUUGCCUACUAGCAUGCAUGAGGCACUGGGUUCAACUCUCAGCACCA
rnacentral:tRNA from 1 species